rnacentral:rRNA from 1 species
GACGAACGCUGGCGGCGCGCUUAACACAUGCAAGUCGAGCGAGAACCAGCCCUUCGGGGCUGGGGACAGCGGCGAACGGGUGAGUAACACGUGGGUAAUCUGCCCUCGGCAUCGGGAUAGCCCGGGGAAACCCGGAUUAAUACCGAAUAGCCUCCGGAGCCUUCGGGCGCCGGAGAAAAGGUAGCUUCGGCCUCUGGCCGAGGAUGAGCCCGCGGCGGAUUAGCUUGUUGGCGGGGUAACGGCCCACCAAGGCGACGAUCCGUAGCUGGUCUGGGAGGACGAUCAGCCACACUGGGACUGAGACACGGCCCAGACUCCGACGGGAGGCAGCAGUGGGGAAUCUUGCGCAAAUGCGGGAAACCGUGACGCAGCGACGCCGCGUGGGGGAAGAAGGCCUUCGGGUUGUAAACCUCUUUCAGGAGGGACGCAGCUACUCGGGUUAAUAGCCCAGAGGGUGACGGUACCUCCAGAAGAAGCCCCGGCUAACUACGUGCCAGCCGCCGCAGUAACAC